AGUGAACGCUGGCGGUAGGCCUAACACAUGCAAGUCGAACGGCAGCACAGUAAGAGCUUGCUCUUACGGGUGGCGAGUGGCGGACGGGUGAGGAAUAUAUCGGAAUCUACUUUUUCGUGGGGGAUAACGUAGGGAAACUUACGCUAAUACCGCAUACGACCUACGGGUGAAAGCAGGGGAUCUUCGGACCUUGCGCGAUUGAAUGAGCCGCUGUCGGAUUAGCUAGUUGGCGGGGUAAAGGCCCACCAAGGCGACGAUCCGUAGCUGGUCUGAGAGGAUGGUCAGCCACACUGGAACUGAGACACGGUCCAGACUCCUACGGGAGGCAGCAGUGGGGAAUAUUGGACAAUGGGCGCAAGCCUGAUCCAGCCAUACCGCGUGGGUGAAGAAGGCCUUCGGGUUGUAAAGCCCUUUUGUUGGGAAAGAAAAGCAGCAGGUUAAUACCCCGCUGUUCUGACGGUACCCAAAGAAUAAGCACCGGCUAACUUCGUG
rnacentral:rRNA from 1 species